rnacentral:rRNA from 1 species
AUUGAACGCUGGCGGCAGGCCUAACUCAUGCAAGUCGUACGAGUGGCGGACGGGUGAGUAAUGUCUGGGAAACUGCCUGAUGGAGGGGGAUAACUACUGGAAACGGUAGCUAAUACCGCAUACCAUCGGAUGUGCCCAGCUGGGAGUAGCUAGUAGGUGGGGCAAAGGCUCACCUAGGCGACGAUCCCUAGCUGGUCUGAGAGGAUGACCAGCCACAAGGGAACUGAGACACGGUCCAGACUCGUACGGGAGGCAACGGUGGAGAAUAUUGCACAAUGGGCGCAAGCCGGAUGCAGCCAUACCGAGUGUAUGAAGAAGGCCUUCGGGUUGUAAAGUACUUUCAGCGGGGUUGCGUUAACCGCAGAAAAAGCACCGGCUAACUCCGUGCCAGCAGCCGCGGUAACAC